GAUGAACGCUGGCGGCGUGCCUAAUACAUGCAAGUCGAGCGAACAGACGAGGAGCUUGCUCCUCUGACGUUAGCGGCGGACGGGUGAGUAACACGUGGAUAACCUACCUAUAAGACUGGGAUAACUUCGGGAAACCGGAGCUAAUACCGGAUAAUAUAUUGAACCGCAUGGUUCAAUAGUGAAAGACGGUUUUGCUGUCACUUAUAGAUGGAUCCGCGCCGCAUUAGCUAGUUGGUAAGGUAACGGCUUACCAAGGCAACGAUGCGUAGCCGACCUGAGAGGGUGAUCGGCCACACUGGAACUGAGACACGGUCCAGACUCCUACGGGAGGCAGCAGUAGGGAAUCUUCCGCAAUGGGCGAAAGCCUGACGGAGCAACGCCGCGUGAGUGAUGAAGGUCUUCGGAUCGUAAAACUCUGUUAUUAGGGAAGAACAAAUGUGUAAGUAACUAUGCACGUAUUGACGGUACCUAAUCAGAAAGCCACGGCUAACUACGUGC
rnacentral:rRNA from 1 species